UACAGAGGUCCCGAGCGUUGUUCGGAUUCACUGGGCGUAAAGGGUGCGUAGGUGGCAUGGCCAGUUUGAUGUGAAAGCUCAGGGCUUAACCCUGAAAUGGCAUUGAAUACUGCUGUGCUGGAGGUUUGGAGGGGGGACUGGAAUUCUUGGUGUAGCAGUGAAAUGCGUAGAUAUCAAGAGGAACACCAGUGGCGAAGGCGAGUCCCUGGACAACACCUGACACUGAGGCACGAAAGCUAGGGGAGCAAACGGG
rnacentral:rRNA from 1 species